rnacentral:rRNA from 1 species
CCUAGGGGAGGCAGCAGUGAGGAAUAUUGGUCAAUGGGCGAGAGCCUGAACCAGCCAAGUCGCGUGAAGGAUGACGGCCCUACGGGUUGUAAACUUCUUUUGUCAGGGAGCAAAUGGGUCCACGCGUGGGCUUAGAGAGAGUACCUGAAGAAAAAGCAACGGCUAACUCCGUGCCAGCAGCCGCGGUAAUACAGAGGAAGCGAGCGUUAUCCGGAUUUAAUGGGUGUAAAGAGUGCGUAGGCGGAAUAUUAAGUCAGCGGUAAAAAAUCGGGGCUCAACCCCGUCGUGCCGUUGAAACUGGUGUUCUUGAGUGGGCGAGAAGUAUGCGGAAUUCGUGGUGUAGCGGUGAAAUGCAUAGAUAUCUCGAAGAACUCCGAUUGCGAAGGCAGCAUACCGGCGCCAAACUGACGCUGAAGGACGAAAGCGUGGGUAUCGAACAGGAUUAGAUACCCUUGUAGUC